GUCAUUCUAGAGAGGUUCCAAUCAGAGCUGGGAAUUGUAAAAAAUGAAAAUGUCAAUGUAAAGCAGCGUGAAUGACUUACUGAAGCAGAGAAUUUGCUACGGAAGAAAAUGUGUGGCUGAGCAAAUGCUACCUCAGACUACUGCACAAUGCCAACAGCUGUUGAGCUCUGGGUCACAGAGUUUUCUUUACUGUUUUUAUGAACUCUUUGAUGGAGAUGGCAUGAUAUCCAUAGUUCUGAAAAUAACAUUGAGGAUGAAGUAUGUCCAAAUGCACCAGAAAGGAAGUGAUUGCAUCAAACAUACAAACACGUGUGAAAUGCCAGUUGUCCAGCAAGAUGGCAAAUGUGAUUGUGCAAAGUGUGUGUACAAGCCUGAACACAAAUGAACAAGCAUGAACAUACCACAUGAGAACUUGUAAAUAUUAUGAUUACUACAAAAGUAAUUUUAUAAAAAAUAAAUAAUACUUAUUUAUAAAAGUCCCCGCGUUUUGCUUAUAUGCAUUACAAUAAAAAUUGCCAUUUUCUUAAAGUAUUUGGGCAUAAUAAAGAAAGUUUUUUUUUGUGAGAAAAUCUGACAUUUGAGAACUUGAUGUUAUCUUAAAUAUUAUAUUUAAUUAGAGGUAAAGCUUUUAUGCAAAGACAUCCACGUGUAUAACAGACCUUAAAAACUUUGGAAUGUCUUUAUACUAUUACUUAAAAUAUUAGUAUUGAACUGAUGUAGUGAUUUUGAGAAGCACAUUUUAGAUUUUUUUUAUUUUUAUAGUAGAAUUGGAAGAUAGCUACAGAAACAGUCAAACGUGAAUUAAAUUUAAAAGUUGACUGUUAAACCACAAAACAUCUGAAUAAUAUUCCUUUCAGGCAGAAUUAAGAUGACCUUAGCAUGCUUUAAAUUCUUCGUAUGAGUUAAUCUCAAAUGAGGCCACUUAAAAUAUGAAAAAGAUAUGUCUACAGAGGAAAGCACUACACAGAUUAACUGAUACUCUGCAAUAAUACUUUCAGUUCGUUGUGAUUCUUAAAAAUUAAUUAAAAUUGAGACAAACCUAUUUUGAAUGUGUUGUGCUUGUGAAAUACUGUUAUUCAGUGGCUUUAGUUUUUUAAAUUUAUGAAAGGCAAAACAGUGUAUUUGCAUAGUAAAUUGAAGGCCAUAAAGAUUCUUAAUUCAGGCUGUCCAUGUAUUAUUUUAAAGUGAAUUAGCUAACAAUUCAGCCCUAUUAUGCUUUUAUGAAGAAGUAAAGAGGUCUGAAUUACCUGGGCUACAUGAUUAAAACUUAACAAACAAAACAAACAAACAAAAAAGCAACCUAAUAAUGUGUUUUUUUUUUUUUUUUUUUUAAACAUAGAAAUUUGCUUAGGCUGUGUGUAUUUAUAGAUUGUCAGGUAAUGUACCAUGCAUCUGGCAUGGUCACAUCCACUUGAUGCUGUACUAGUACAUCUCAAAAAAAAGAAGUUGAACUUUUUGAUUAGGAAGUAUGAAUUGCCUGAAAAUAUUGCAACAGAUGUGUUAGUCUGAGCCAAGAGCCUGAGUUUUUUCUUUUCUAUUUGAAUUCAGUCAUCGAAAAAAUAUGCCAUUUGGCAUCUCUAUAUGCUGUUAGAAAUGGACCACCGAAAACUGCUUGGAAAUCAUCAGAAUGAAACUGACUUCAUUAAUUAUUUCAUAAAACCUGGUGUAAAGGAGGCAGUAAGAGCUCCCUGUGGCAUGAACCUGAUGUAAAUAAAACCAGCAAAGGCUUCUGGAGCCUUAUGCGUGUCAACUGACUCAAUAACACUACUCACAUCUUCAGUUGUCAAAGCGGUGACAGCUCCCAGUAGAACUCUUGGCUGUAACAAGGUCUUGGCUAAAGUUUGAUUUUCUGAAUUGAGAGUCUAUCUGUGCAUCUUGCUGCUCCUAUAUUAGGAACCUUUUGAUUUCUUCUCAUAAUGCAUUUUCCCUUUUACAGCCAUUAGUUCAUAAGCCAAAAAAAAAGUCCUCUGGCUCAUUGCCUCCUUCCUGUUUUGUUUUUGAUCUGCUUCAUGUUCAUCAUUUGUGCUGCUGUUCGGAGUUGUGCUGCUCCUUCUUAUAUCUCUACCAAUCAUACAGAGGAGCACAGAGCAAUAGUAUCUAGCUAGUGCAGAGCAGGAGGCUGAGGCACAUGUCAGCCCUGGCAGAAUGCCACAGAUACUAACAGAACUGCAUCUUCAUGCUGAUAUUGCUAUGUGGCUUCUGGUUUAGAGUUUCAUGUUUGGACUUUUCCACACUGCAUUCAUCAGACUUAUCAUCUUAUCCUCUGAUAAAAUUACCCUGAGUUUUUUUUUAAAUAAUUGACAACCUUAUCAUAGUUUACUUUUCUAGAAGAGGGAUAUAACAGUAUACUAUACUAGCCACAGUUCAGUUUAGCAGAGAAUGUUUGUUUAUACCUUGCUUCCUAUGUAAGUUAUGCCCUCAGUGAAGACACAUAUUCUAGGAAGAACACAGAAUUUAUGUAACAAGAUGAUUAUCUUUUCAGAUACACUGUGGAGCUUCUAAAUCAUGGAUAAGUCUUUUAUCUUUUCAUGAAUUUGGAUCACUGAUUUAUGAAGGUGACAAACACUGGAGUUAAGUAAUAAAAUCCUGUGGAACUCUUAAUAGUAUGUGGGAAGGAAAUUAGAUACCUUCAUGCUUCAUUCUUUGAAUGGAGAGAAACAUCUUUUUUCCUCUUUUGUUCCCCACUCUCUAAAAUUUCUCCUUUCAUUCAUUUUGAAGAUAACUGUGUUACUGUUUUCUUCAAAAUACUAUAAUUCCUUACAUUUGUUGGACCUACAAGGCAAUGUUAAACACAGCAAUUUAUAAGUGAAGGGGAUUAUUACAGUUUCCCGGAUAAACCAGGUUAAUUAAUUCCCCGAGGAGACAAAUGAUACUAUGCUUUCAGUAUAAUCAUGUUACUUUCCUGACUGUGUAUUGAAGGUACUAGCAAUUGGACAAUUACAGCAACAGAUCCUCCUAGAAAUCUGCAUGAUUUUUUAAAGUAUUAAAUGUGUUAACCAUCUGCUUAAUUUCAUGCUGGCAUUUCCUGUUCAGAAAGCAACAAAAUUGGUUUAUCUGGACCAAUUAGAUCUUAUUUGCAUCAGUACUGACUCCUGUUCAAAGGAUUCUGUUGACAUUCUUUAGUGAGGAAGGAAUUACUUACAUAUUUUUCUUGAAACUUUGAAUCAAUCCAUUUGUUUUUAUGGGCUAUAUGAUUUUUUUUUUCUGAUGGAGUAAUUGAAGUCAUAGUAGAAACUCAUUAGUUCAAACUGACAGGUCCAAGAAAAUACAUCCUCAUUGUUUUUACUUUAGUUACAGUGUCAUCCUAGAGAGUUAAUUAAGAUUUAGCAUUAUUAUACCAAGGUUCUCUGACAUUAAAAUCUUUAUGUGACUGUGACAAUCAGUCAAAUUCAAUUUCUCUUCAACAAAGUCAACAUCAUGCCAAGGUUAGGGAAUGCAUCUAUUGUGGAUUUUUCAGAUGGACUAGAUUUUUGUGUACCUUGUGUACUAAUGAAGAAAUGAAUUUAAAAUAGUCCUUAAUAUUCUAAGUAUUUUAUGUCUUUGAGAAACACACACUAUUU